rnacentral:sRNA from 1 species
UGCGAGCGUAUGCUCGACCGUGUCCUCGUC